ACUGUGAUUGGCAUGAUAUAGGCUAUUAAUCAACCGGUUUGACGCUAUUAUGCUGCUGCGCCGUUAUUUACGCAUGAGACACCUGUAGUUACUGGUGAUAACAACUAUCAACUUGCCUUUUAAUACCACAAGGCACAGAAGUCUGGGGCAGAUAAACAAACUAUAGUCAGGCAGUCGCUUCUCUUUUCCAUAAUUAGCCUAUGUGAGCAGUCAUGAUCUGACUUUAUGCUGCACACAACAUGAGUCUGCGAAAAGCGAAAGUAAAAGGAGCUGGUUGCCUGGCUGAGAAGGGGGAGGUGUGCACCCUGUGGCUUGCAGCUCUUUAUAUGGCUUUUUCCGACUUGUUAACUGGGACGCGGUCAGCUCGGGUGUGACGACAUUCCCACCUCCGACUUCCGAGUUUGCAGAGAACUAUGGAAACGUUUUCAGCCUUCGGCUGUUCGGUGGACGGAUUGUGGUGAUUAAUGGCUACAAGCUUGUAAGAGAAGCCCUGGUCCACAAAGGAGAGGACUACAUAGAUCGCCCCAUCAUACCAAUGGCAGAAGCAUUAAUUGGGAACAGAGGUCUGUUGAUGUCAAGUGGCAAUCCAUGGAAGCAGCAGAGGAGAUUUGCUCUUCAUACACUCAGAAACUUUGGUGUGGGCAAGAAGAGCCUGGAGCCAUCCAUCCAGCAGGAGUGCCAAUAUCUCACUGAAGCUUUUGCCCUUCAGCAAGGCAACAAACAAAUCUUAUUUUUCAACAAGCAACAACUAAUCAACUAAUCCAUAACUAGUUACAGGGCAGUAUGCUUUUUCACCAUGACACAGUCUUUUUUUAUGUUAAGUACAUGUUCCCUUUCCCUUCAACUUCGCUACAUCUUUGCCACAGGGCAUGCUGGCAGAGGCAUGCAGCAACACCAUGGAGCACUGAACGAUGCACUUUAGACGUUAGUUUGUUUCAGUUUGGCAGUGGCUGACACUGUAAAUGUAUCUGAUAGACCAGCCUGUUAAUCAUCCAUAAUUAUAAUCAAUAUGUCAUAGUACUCUUCUUCUGC